GCCUUAUUUACACACACAUAAGAACACUCUCAUCUUCAUCAUUUUCACCAAGAAUACCCACCAAAAACCCAUUUCAUUUUAUUACAUCUUUGAUGAUCAACAUGGAGAAUAAUGAAACAUAAGAUGAUCUAAAGCAUCUACAAGUUAAAGCACACUUUUUCAUCCAUUCAAGAGUUUUAUACCAACAAGAUCUUCAUCUUCUUUGCUUCUUAUCAACACCUAGAUCAUCCCUAGCCACAAGUGCUAGAAGUCGCAACAUUGUUCAAGACGACCACGCGUAAGAUCACGAACACGUACCAUUCACGGACGCAAUACUGGAAUUAAUGGACCAUGUCGGGAUUCUCAGUCAAGAUAACAAGUACCAGAACUCCAUGCCAUCUUUUGGAGGGUUUAACUAUUAUAUUCCGCCUCUUUGCGGCAAUAUGAUGGUUUAAACCUUAGUAGUUUAUUUUCAUUUUGAUGUAUGAAACAAUAACACUUUACUUUCAUGUUAAUGGUUUGUAACCGACACACUAAACUUAUGUUGUGAUCUUUUGAAAACAAUUAUGUAAUGGCA